rnacentral:lncRNA from 1 species
CCAGUGCGCGUGGUUGCGCCGUGUAGCCUGGCCAGUUCAGCGUGCACGCACGAAAGCAUGUUGUCGCUGCACUCUGUGACAGCGACGUCAAGCCAAUCUUUCACAAUGCAGGAACGCUGGAAGAUAUUCAUAUUAGCCAUCGCACGCUUCUUGCUAAAACUGCAUUGAGUCACUGAUGACACAGUGGGUGGCAAUUUGUUUGAAGCGCUCAAGAACGUGGAGAGCUGAUGCUUUCAAUUGAUGUCACUUCUACACGUGUGAAGAACACAACAGUGAGCCUAUGGCCCAAUUUUAUCAUCGGUCCUUCGAUUUACCGGACAUAGAUGCAGAAGACAUUACUAAGGCCUUACAAGCAAGCUGACAUUUCACUUAGGAUUUGCCGAACGCAAAAGUUUACACUGCAGUUAAGGGUUGGCUGACGAUGCGAAUGACCUACAUGAGCCGACAAUGCCGUUCUUGGGUUGACAUGGGAUGGACGUCCGGUAGUGCCAAUAUGAUGACCUUGAAGAAUGUAAUGCGUACGUUCUUUAAGUGAAUAAGUAAAGAUAUAAUGGGAACUCACAGCCCUAUUCCCCUUC